UUUUUGCACUCUGUGUGUAUGUGAUACCGAACAGCAAGUGAUAUCUGUGUUUGUUAUCUACAAUAUUUUUUGGAUUACGAGGAAUAAUUCAACUGUUUCAACUAAGCAAGCUACUGAACCACAAAAUGGGCAAUGGGCAACCCACAUCCUUCACUUUCCACAAACUAUUACGUACACAAUGGAUGUGGACGAUGGAUGAAAUUUGGGCAACACAACUUACGCUUUCUGUCUUGCAAUUAUACAAUGAGAGGAUUUAUAUGCUCAUCAUCUGCUCAAGGCUCGCCCCUGUCCUAAGUGGCUUGCUUCUGUUGUUACCAUAUAGUUCAUGGAAGUUAAAGUUAAAGCAUAAAAGGAGUUGUCGACAGAGGGUCAGAGUGAUUCAUCGCUGUGCAAUCAAUUAUCAUCUUGUCAGCUGCUUUUUGUGAUCCACAUUUAGCCAGCUACCGUGCAUAAGCAUCAACAUCAUACUGCCCAAGUGCAAAAUUGCUGUCCUGGACAUUUCUGCAGUUCUCGCCCCUUGUAGACCACACGCAAAACCUACAGUCUUCUUCCCUUCUUAGCUCCAGUACAACAUCAACCAUCAGGACUUCGUGCCAUUCUUUCUUUUCAUCAUUGAGCCCCUCGAUCCAACAACAUCAUAGCAUUGCACGACGGAAAAGAACAUGUCUAUGUUAUCGUCUCAUCACGUCUUUGAUCUCGCCAUGUCUCUUUGCCGUCUUCACCUUUGCCUUCGCCAUCGUCUCGUCGCCGCCUUCGCCUUUGCCUUCGCCAUCGUCUCGUCGCCGCCUUCGCCUUUGCCUUCGCCAUCGUCUCGUCGCCGCCUUCGCCUUUGCCUUCGCCAUCGUCUCGUCGCCGCCUUCGCCUUUGCCUUCGCCAUCGUCUCGUCGCCGCCUUCGCCUUUGCCUUCGCCAUCGUCUCGUCGCCGCCUUCGCCUUUGCCUUCGCCAUCGUCUCGUCGCCGCCUUCGCCUUUGCCUUCGCCAUCGUCUCGUCGCCGCCUUCGCCUUUGCCUUCGCCAUCGUCUCGUCGCCGCCUUCGCCUUUGCCUUCGCCAUCGUCUCGUCGCCGCCUU